rnacentral:rRNA from 1 species
UGGAAACGACCGCUAAUACCGCAUACGCCCUACGGGGGAAAGGUCAGCCGGAGAAAGAGGGGCCCGCGUUAGAUUAGCUAGUUGGUGGGGUAAUGGCCUACCAAGGCGACGAUCUAUAGCUGGUCUGAGAGGAUGAUCAGCCACACUGGGACUGAGACACGGCCCAGACUCCUACGGGAGGCAGCAGUGGGGAAUAUUGGACAAUGGGGGCAACCCUGAUCCAGCAAUGCCGCGUGUGUGAUGAAGGCCCUAGGGUUGUAAAGCACUUUCACUGGUGAAGAUGAUGACGGUAACCAGAGAAGAAGCCCCGGCUAACUUCGUGCCAGCAGCCGCGGUAAUACGAAGGGGGCGAGCGUUGUUCGGAAUUACUGGGCGUAAAGGGCGCGUAGGCGGCUCUUUAAGUUAGGCGUGAAAGCCCCGGGCUCAACCUGGGAACUGCGCUUAAGACUGGAGAGCUANAAAACGGAAGAGGGUAGUGGAAUUCCCAGUGUA